GCUAACCGGGGAGGUGGCGGAUCCCUGUACUCGAAACCCGCCAUAGCGAGGGUGAAGCCUGUCUUCGGCUCCUUCUUUUUAAAGUCUGCCCGGGGUAAGUAGCGUUGACGGUCAAGUCCCGCGCAAUAAGCCUUUGUGAACCGCGUCAGACCCGGAAGGGAGCAGCGCUAAGCGAAUGCGUUUAUGUGCCGCGGGGUCGCUUGACCCGAGCUAACUGCUUCGGUUACGUUUGGGGAGAAAUGUCAACGGCAGGCGCACGG
rnacentral:SRP_RNA from 1 species